UAAGGAAUAUUGGUCAAUGGACGCAAGUCUGAACCAGCCAUGCCGCGUGAAGGAUUAAGGUCCUCUGGAUUGUAAACUUCUUUUAUCUGGGACGAAAAAAGGCGAUUCUUCGUCACUUGACGGUACCAGAUGAAUAAGCACCGGCUAACUCCGUGCCAGCAGCCGCGGUAAUACGGAGGGUGCAAGCGUUAUCCGGAUUCACUGGGUUUAAAGGGUGCGUAGGCGGGCAGGUAAAGUCAGUGGUGAAAUCCUGGAGCUUAACUCCAGAACUGCCAUUGAUACUAUCUGUCUUGAAUAUUGUGGAGGUAAGCGGAAUAUGUCAUGUAGCGGUGAAAUGCUUAGAUAUGACAUAGAACACCUAUUGCGAAGGCAGCUUACUACGCAUAUAUUGACGCUGAGGCACGAAAGCGUGGGGAUCAAACAGGAUUAGAUACCCUGGUAGUCCACGCCCUAAACGAUGGAUACUCGACAUACGCGAUACACUGUGUGUGUCUGAGCGAAAGCAUUAAGUAUCCCCACCUGGGGAAGUACACCGCAAGGUUGAAACUCAAAUGAAUUGACGGGGUCAUAGCUGUUUCCUG
rnacentral:rRNA from 1 species